rnacentral:rRNA from 1 species
AGCGGGUGAAAAGCCCGCUCGCCGGAAGACCAAGGGUUCCUGUCCAACGUUAAUCGGGGCAGGGUGAGUCGACCCCUAAGGCGAGGCCGAAAGGCGUAGUCGAUGGGAAACGGGUUAAUAUUCCCGUACUUGGUGUUACUGCGAAGGGGGGACGGAGAAGGCUAUGUUGGCCGGGCGACGGUUGUCCCGGUUUAAGCGUGUAGGUGUGUGUUCCAGGUAAAUCCGGUUCACUUUAACACUGAGGCGUGAUGACGAGGCACUACGGUGCUGAAGCAACAAAUGCCCUGCUUCCAGGAAAAGCCUCUAAGCAUCAGGUAACAUCAAAUCGUACCCCAAACCGACACAGGUGGUCAGGUAGAGAAUACCAAGGCGCUUGAGAGAACUCGGGUGAAGGAACUAGGCAAAAUGGUGCCGUAACUUCGGGAGAAGGCACGCUGACAUGUAGGUGAAGUGAUUUACUCAUGGAGCUGAAGUCAGUCGAAGAUACCAGCUGGCUGCAACUGUUUAUUAAAAACACAGCAC